UUUAUUUUCAAAUAAUAAUACUUUAAAAAGGCCUCUAAAGUUUUAUCGUUGAAGUCAAGAUAAUAUGGUGAUAAAUUCUGCCUAUAAGGAUCGAACGAUUGAAAUUGUUUUAGCAUCCAGUGCAGAUCUCCAAAAAACUCUUAGUGGGAAAAAGGUUGAAAUUUUGUGUGCAAACUCCCGUCCUGCUACACUAAAAGCGAGUUAAUAAAAACGCUAUAUUUCCUAAAAACUAUCUUUAUGAUCAGUGAAACUAUUUUUUUUAUUUUAUUUUGCUGGAUUGUAUAAACUGGACAAUGCUAAUUUUAUUUUUGAAUUCCAAUUUUGUAUUACAUUCUUUUAGAAUGCAUUAAAGUGUACAUUUUAGAAAAUUUAGUGAAUAACUACUUUGUAACGCCUGUUUUUGGAUGUUUUCAUGAAUUCUUGAAAAAAUAAAGGGUGAUACUAAAAAGAA